rnacentral:rRNA from 1 species
UACAGAGGUCUCAAGCGUUGUUCGGAUUCAUUGGGCGUAAAGGGUGCGUAGGCGGCGCGGUAAGUCGGGUGUGAAAUCUUGGAGCUUAACUCCGAAACUGCAUUCGAUACUGCCGUGCUUGAGGACUGGAGAGGUGAGUGGAACUGCGAGUGUAGAGGUGAAAUUCGUAGAUAUUCGCAAGAACACCAGUGGCGAAGGCGGCUCACUGGCCCGAUACUGACGCUGAGGCACGAAAGCGUGGGGAGCAAACAGG